rnacentral:tRNA from 1 species
UGGCUCCGGACACCAACGCUUAGCCUUGGCAAAGCCAAGCGAAGCCUUCGCUUCGCUUGCCGAAGCC